AGGACGAACGCUGGCGGCGUGCCUAACACAUGCAAGUCGAACGAGGUCCAACCGGUAGCAAUACCGGUGAAGACCAAGUGGCGAACGGGUGAGUAGCACGUGAGCAACCUACCCCGAAGACCGGGACAACACCGGGAAACCGGUGCUAAUACCGGAUGUCCCCACCGAGUCGCAUGGCUUGGUGAGGAAAUGGAUUCCGCUUCGGGAGGGGCUCGCGGCCUAUCAGCUAGUUGGUGAGGUAACGGCUCACCAAGGCUUCGACGGGUAGCUGGUCUGAGAGGACGAUCAGCCACACUGGGACUGAGACACGGCCCAGACUCCUACGGGAGGCAGCAGUGGGGAAUCUUGCACAAUGGGCGAAAGCCUGAUGCAGCAACGCCGCGUGAGGGACGAAGGCUUUCUGAGUUGUAAACCUCUUUCAGCAGGGACGAUGAUGACGGUACCUGCAGAAGAAGCCCGGCCAACUACGCGCCAGCAGCCGCGGU
rnacentral:rRNA from 1 species